GCCAGGUGCUGUGGUGCACAACUGUAAUCCCAGCGGCUUGGGAGGCUGAGGCAGGAGGAUCACGAGUACAAAGCCAGCCUCAGCAAAAGCGAGGCACUAAGGGACUCAGUGAGACCCUGUCUCUA
rnacentral:sRNA from 1 species